ACAAGGUUUUCCGUCUGUUUUGCUUUUUCCCCCCUUCAUAGUAGGUGAGCGAUGAGCACACAGAUAAGAUGAACUAAACGGAGAAAAGCCUUGAUUUUUUUUCUCUCUUUUUUUUUUUCCACAGAGCGGGAGAUGACACAUGAAGGAUUUUUUUUUUAUUUUAUCACACUUAAACAGGUCAGAUAACUGUCAGAUAAUAGCAUACAUUUUGACAGCUGCACAGAAGCCUGCAGGAAACAGAGCGGGGCACGGGGACAAUACGAUAGAGUUUCUCUCCGUGACACCCUAUCAGUCUCUCAGAUCGUGACAGAAAAUCCUCCCUCUCUCCAUCGCUGACUCAUUCUGUGGGCACCGACUGUGAUUUUUUUUUUUUUUUUUUUCGGGCAAAAGAAUACUUUCUCGAGAGCAGGGAAGACAGAGGCAGCUCAAAAAAGACGAAAAAGCCACCUACUGCGUGCCAGUGAAAGCCUGUCGAACUUGCUCCCUCACUUUGCGCCAAUGAAAGACUAUUUCCAGCGAGCACUGUCUGUAACUAAUGAGAUGCAUAUCUUCCUGAAGUGUGGGUGCAGGCAUGUUAGCUAGGAGGUAAUAAUGGAAAAAAGGUCCGUGGAGGGUGUUCGGGGAUACACCGGGGCCGGACGCUGGUGUUGGCCAAACGUUGAGUGGCAUUGAAGGGAAGCCUUGCUGAAUCCCCGGGGAACGCAUUUGAUUUGUUUUUGAGGAGGGACGUCUCACUGUACCCCAAAAAGGUCACUGUUCCUCUGCUUUGUCUCCACAGUGCACAGAGCUGAUUAUACAUGCACAGGGCUAUAAUAACCAAACAACAAAAGGGAAGCCAGGCCAGCCUUGCUUUCAAUACCGCGCUGCGGAAUGGAGCACGUGUAAUUAAAACCGGCUCGGUCGAAGCAAGAAGCGCAAAGAGAAACAUCGGGCCGGCUGAUUGUAAUGGCGGGGUUGAAGAAGAAGGCACAAAUAAGCGUCGUUACGGGCUGAAGGCCUCGCACAUUCCACUAAUGUGGAUCGAUGACAGCAAACCCCGCGCUCUGCAAAACAGAGCAAACUAUAACGAGAUGGCGUCACAAGUGUUCAAGUCCUGAGAAAUCCGCAAGUUUGCUCCCUGAGGUGGUGCGUUUCCUUAGGUCGCCUGCCGCUACGACUUCCUGGAGAGAGUCGGCGUUACGAAAAAGACAUUACCCCUUUCAAGACACACCGUCCAGCAGGCAGCCAUGUUGUAAUGGUAAUGUGAACCCUGCUGCGCUGGGCUGACGUGCCGAGCUCAUGCCAAGCAAGCACAUGUGCGUAGAAGAGAUCCAUUAGCUUCAGAAAUUACAUACUGUGUGUUUAAGUAAAGGCACAGAUAUCAUGCUGUUAAUGGUAAGUUGGUUCAUAAACCAUAUAUCUCUGUUUC